rnacentral:rRNA from 1 species
GACGAACGCUGGCGGCGUGCCUAAUACAUGCAAGUAGAACGCACAGUUUAUACCGUAGCUUGCUACACCAUAGACUGUGAGUUGCGAACGGGUGAGUAACGCGUAGGUAACCUGCCUGGUAGCGGGGGAUAACUAUUGGAAACGAUAGCUAAUACCGCAUAAUAUUAAUUAUUGCAUGAUAAUUAAUUGAAAGGUGCAAUUGCACCACUACCAGAUGGACCUGCGUUGUAUUAGCUAGUAGGUGAGGUAACGGCUCACCUAGGCGACGAUACAUAGCCGACCUGAGAGGGUGAUCGGCCACACUGGGACUGAGACACGGCCCAGACUCCUACGGGAGGCAGCAGUAGGGAAUCUUCGGCAAUGGACGAAAGGCUGACCGAGCAACGCCGCGUGAGUGAAGAAGGGUUUCGGAUCGUAAAGCUCUGUUGUAAGGGAAGAACGGGUGUGAGAGUGGAAAGUUCACACUGUGACGGUAUCUUACCAGAAAGGGACGGCUAACUACGUG